GGCAACGUAGCUCAGCGGUUAGAGCGGGCGCUUCAUAAGCGCUAGGUCAUGGGUUCAAAUCCCUUCGUUGCCACCA
rnacentral:tRNA from 1 species